rnacentral:rRNA from 1 species
UUUAGAAAGAAAAAAUAAAAACUAAACUAUUAUUAGUUAUAUACUUUAAAAUUAAAAAAUUUGGCGGUGAUUUAAUCUUUUCAGAGGAAUUUGUUUUUUAAUCGAUAAUCCACGAAAAAUCUUACUUGUUUUUGUUUAUUAUAAUUCAGUUUGUAUACCAUCAUUAUCAGAUAAUUCUAAAAAGAAAAAUUAUCAAAUAUAGUUAAUUAUUGAAAUUAGAUCAUGGUGCAGCUUAUAGACAAGUUAAAAUGAAUUACAAUAAAUUGUUUUAAAUGAAUUGAUAAAAUAAUUUUUAUUAUGAAGGAGGAUUUGAUAGUAUUAUAAUUUUAAUAAGUUUAUAAGACAAUGGCUCUAAAUCAUGUACAUAUCGCCCGUCGCUUUCAUUUAUAAAUGAAAUAAGUCGUAACAUA